GACGAACGCUGGCGGCGUGCUUAACACAUGCAAGUCGAGCGGAGCGGCGAACGGGUGAGUAACGCGUGAGUAACUGCCCCCCUCUCUGGGAUAACAGUUGGAAACGGCUGCUAAUACCGGAUAGUGGGGGAUGACUCGCGUCCUAUCAGCUUGUUGGUGGGGUAGUGGCCUACCAAGGCGACGACGGGUAGCCGGCCUGAGAGGGGGACCGGCCACAUGGGGCGGGGAAACGGCCCAAACUCCUACGGGGGGCAGCGGUGGGGAAUAUGGCACACUGGGGGAAACCCUGAUGAAGCAACGCCGCGUGGGGGAUGACGGCCUUCGGGUUGUAACCCGCUUUCAGCCAUGACGCGGUAGUGGCAGAAGAGGCACCGGCUAACUACGGGCCAGCGGCCGCGUAAUUC
rnacentral:rRNA from 1 species